UACGUAGGGGGCUAGCGUUGUCCGGAAUCAUUGGGCGUAAAGCGCGCGUAGGCGGCCCGGUAAGUCCGCUGUAAAAGUCAAAGGCUCAACCUUUGAAUGUCAGUGGAUACUGCCGGGCUAGAGUCCGGAAGAGGCGAGUGGAACUCCUGGUGUAGCGGUGGAAUGCGCAGAUAUCAGGAAGAACACCAGUGGCGAAGGCGGCUCACUGGCCCGGUACUGACGCUGAGGUGCGAAAGCGUGGGGAGCAAACAGG
rnacentral:rRNA from 1 species